UCAGAUGUGAAGAUGGAGUUGAACGUGCAAGAGGUAUAUGAUCUGGGGUAGAAGAAGGGUAGAAAUCGAAAUCAAGUAAUGGGGGGGGAUCAAUUCUUCUGUUUUUUUUUUUAAAUAUCAUGUCGACAAAACCAGUCUCUUAUUAAUGUUUUUCAUAUUUUUUUUAAAGGGCAAACUUGUGAAUAAUGAAGUAAAGGUUGGGUUUUUGAUAUAUUUUUUGUUUUAUGUUUUAAUCUAGUCUAGUAAUAAUUAAAUUAUAUAAGUUAGUCUAGUAAUUUGUUCAUUAAUUAGAGUAAUUAAAAGUACUUUCUCUUAAUUUUUUUUGUUACCUGAGGUGUCCAAAUUAUAUUGAUUAAG
rnacentral:lncRNA from 1 species